rnacentral:misc_RNA from 1 species
GAAAUGCGAUAAGUAAUGUGAAUUGCAGAAUUCAGUGAAUCAUCGAAUCUUUGAACGCACAUUGCGCCCGCCAGUAUUCUGGCGGGCAUGCCUGUUCGAGCGUCAUUACAACCCUCAGGCCCCCGGGCCUGGCGUUGGGGAUCGGCGGAAGCCCCCUGCGGGCACAACGCCGUCCCCCAAAUACAGUGGCGGUCCCGCCGCAGCUUCCAUUGCGUAGUAGCUAACACCUCGCAACUGGAGAGCGGCGCGGCCACGCCGUAAAACACCCAACUUCUGAAUGUUGACCUCGAAUCAGGUAGGAAUACCCGCUGAACUUAAGCA